AAAGGUAUCUAUCAAUGAUGUGAGCCUCACAGCUGUAACAGGACGUUAACCUCACCACCACGCCAAUCUCAGUCUGUUUAUAUACAUAAUAGUAUGUAAUAUACACGUUUUGAGAAACUCCUAUGUUUACAAAUUUUGUUAUCUGCGUCUGUGCAAUGGUUAGAUUACUGAAAUAAGAACAGAGAAGUUAUUUUCAGGUUUAUGAACUUUGUUGAAACUUGACCUAUUCUUACAUAUAAUCAGAUUUUUGGAAUUAACUAACCUGGAUGAAGAAACUGAACCUGAAGAAAACAGGACAAGAACAAAAAUCCGUUGUUCUUGAGAAAAAGCCACAGCACAUAGGUUUUGUCUUGAGAAGAAAGAAUUAAAACACAAUUAUUGGUUUUGUGUAUUGGUUGCUUUGCUAUAAGUAUAUGUAUAUUGGAACAAAC
rnacentral:lncRNA from 1 species